rnacentral:lncRNA from 1 species
CGGCACUAAGAUCUAGGAGCACGAGGACAGAUGCAGAGCCUCGGUCUGACGUCAUUAAAAGGUCAUUUACCACCUUCACAAGUGCAGUCUCAGUGCUAUGAUGGGGUCUAAAACCAGACUGAAGCGUUUCGUAUACAUUGUUUGUCUUCAGGAAGGCAGUCAGUUGCUGUGCAACAGCUUUUUCUAAACUUGACUACUGUGGGAAUCAUUGGAGACAACAUGGGCCAGCAUCUCUGUGGAACACUGUCAACACCUUGUAGAGUCCAUGCCUGAUGAAUUGAGGCUGUUCUUAAUAUUGAUGAGGUGUUCCUAAUGUUUUGUAUACUACACACCAGAGGUAGUGAUUAUCAGAACACACAAAAACGACAGUUAAUAGACGUUUUCAUGUACUGAAAGUGCACAUAUAACCAACACAUAUUGCAUUGCCUAUAUGCUGUGGUAGUGUCCAUCUAAUCGUAACUAGUUGGAACUAAGCCUUAGUCUGAGAGCGUGAGAAAAAAAACACCUGGACACUUUUACAGUUUACCACCACUUAAUCUAAGACCUAUUCUUUAAUGAACCGAUGAAAAACAAGGCUCAAUUACUAAAUAGUUUCUGCAAUUUAAAUGUACAAAUUUAACAAUACAUGGUACAAUAUGAAUGUGCUACAAGUAUGUAUAUUUUACUCUAAUCUUACUCUUCUCUCUGUAUUUACACAACCUUCCUAGGGCAUCUGAAUAGGCAGCCAUAUUGAAAUUUGUAAAUACAUUUACAGACUGCAAAUAUAGAAUGCUUUCAAUGCCUUUCAUUUGAAGAGUUAAUAUACAAGAUAAAAUGCCUUAUGUGGAUCUUCACAGCAUUAUACACGUCCUGAUGACAUAUUUAAUUCCAUAAUCGCCUCUGUUUUUGCCUAGUUUCACUUACAAUUGUACAAUCGAGUUUGCGAAUGUACAAUUAGCCCCAUAAUUCAGUUUGCGAUGAUGAUCCGCUCAGCAAAGUCAGCCAAAACUUAAAACCAACUUUAAUAUGAAGAAGUCAACGUACAAGUGUAAGUAGAAACAAAUGUAAAUAAAAAAAACUCCUAAUCCCCAAAAUGGGAGAAUGAAACAAUAUUUCUAUUUUUAAGAAUGUGGGAAUGCUCUGUGGACACUUAAGGGACAGUCAUGUCUAGUGUGUUUCAUUUGGUGAUCUCAUGAAGGACAGGAAACACACAUAACUGUAUCUUUUAAAGUGUACCUUUCCCAGCUGUCAGUUUUACAGCUGAAUGUUGUAUAAGAUGAAUGAAUAAGUAUCAGAAUACUUUUGAAAAGAUAACAAUGUGAUUUAGUCUUCUAAAUCAGAAUUGGUUGUUUUAUGGUAUUUAUG